CACGCAGUAAACGAUGAAUACUAGCUGUAUGCGAUAUACUGUAUGUGGCAAAGCGAAAGCGUUAAGUAUUCCACCUGGGGAGUACGUUCGCAAGAAUGAAACUCAAAGGAAUUGACGGGGACCCGCACAAGCGGUGGAUGAUGUGGUUUAAUUCGAUGCAACGCGAAAAACCUUACCCACCUUUGACAUGUACGGAAUCCUUUAGAGAUAGAGGAGUGCUCGAAAGAGAGCCGUAACACAGGUGC
rnacentral:rRNA from 1 species